UACGUAGGGUGCGAGCGUUGUCCGGAAUUAUUGGGCGUAAAGAGCUCGUAGGCGGUUUGUCACGUCUGCUGUGAAAUCCCGAGGCUCAACCUCGGGUCUGCAGUCGAUACGGGCGGACUGGAGUUCGGCAGGGGAGACUGGAAUUCCUGGUGUAGCGGUGAAAUGCGCAGAUAUCAGGAGGAACACCGGUGGCGAAGGCGGGUCUCUGGGCCGAUACUGACGCUGAGGAGCGAAAGCGUGGGGAGCGAACAGG
rnacentral:rRNA from 1 species